AUGCUCUGGUUUCUCUUCAGACCGCAUAAAUCUUUCGCCUUUUACUAAAGAUUUCCGUGGAGAGGAACAAUUCUGAGUUAUUACUCAAUUUUUUGAGGUCUUGCAUUCGCAGGACU
ensembl:snRNA U5 U5 spliceosomal RNA